rnacentral:lncRNA from 1 species
GAGGAUAUCUUAGAGAGUGCCAAGCUGAAAUUCAUGCCUGGACUCAUUUCAAGUCUUUUCCUUGCUGAGGGCUACAGCUGAAGGAAGGAGAAAGGCUGAAAUUAUUUUGUGUCUAUGUCUCUUGUAUCUUUUGCAAGUUAUCCUUCCCAGCUGAUGUUUUGCACAGAAAGAGCUACAAGGAAGGAGGCAGAGCUGGCUCCAAGUCACCUUCUGCGGGUAGUCCCGAGGGUGUCUCUUCAACCAAAGGGUGGUUCUCAACAAUGGAAAUAAAA